rnacentral:rRNA from 1 species
UACGUAGGGUGCAAGCGUUAAUCGGAAUUACUGGGCGUAAAGCGUGCGCAGGCGGUUGUGCAAGACCGAUGUGAAAUCCCCGGGCUCAACCUGGGAAUUGCAUUGGUGACUGCACGGCUAGAGUGUGUCAGAGGGGGGUAGAAUUCCACGUGUAGCAGUGAAAUGCGUAGAGAUGUGGAGGAAUACCGAUGGCGAAGGCAGCCCCCUGGGAUAACACUGACGCUCAUGCACGAAAGCGUGGGGAGCAAACAGG